rnacentral:rRNA from 1 species
GACGAACGCUGGCGGCGUGCUUAACACAUGCAAGUCGAACGGAAAGGCCCUGCUUUUGUGGGGUGCUCGAGUGGCGAACGGGUGAGUAACACGUGAGUAACCUGCCCUUGACUUUGGGAUAACUUCAGGAAACUGGGGCUAAUACCGGAUAGGAGCUCCUGCUGCAUGGUGGGGGUUGGAAAGUUUCGGCGGUUGGGGAUGGACUCGCGGCUUAUCAGCUUGUUGGUGGGGUAGUGGCUUACCAAGGCUUUGACGGGUAGCCGGCCUGAGAGGGUGACCGGCCACAUUGGGACUGAGAUACGGCCCAGACUCCUACGGGGGGCAGCAGGGGGGAAUAUUGCACAAUGGGGGGAAGCCUGAUGCAGCAACGCCGCGGGCGGGAUGACGGCCUUCGGGGUGGAAACCGCUUUCGCCUGUGACGAAGCGGGAGUGACGGUAAUGGGUAAAGAAGCACCGGCUAACUACGUG